UCGCUCCAGCCUACACCGUAUCGUUAACUUCCGGUUCUACAACUGGAGUAAUAUUCAUAGACGGACAAUGUGCAGCACAAAGCACGGCCGCUACAGGGACGUACACGUUCGACGCGGCUGCUUGCAUAACAGGGACCGUACCUGCGCUGGGGACUGAAUUCAAGCUGGUCGUGCAGGAAUACUCCACUAUUAAUUUGGCUACUGACUACAUCGUCAAAGUGACCUGUAACCUUGACACUACCAGUGUAACAGAAGUUGUCAACCUUGGGGCAAGCGGAGAGGACUUUGAUGUAACUGACGGAACACCAACUGUAGCACCGACAUUCACCGUUGACUUCCAAGAUAGCUCUGCAAAUACUAUCACAACUGGAAACGUUGGAGACUCCGUACAGAUCGCCCUGUCAAUACCAGCAAAUG